UACAGAGGUCCCAAGCGUUGUUCGGAUUCAUUGGGCGUAAAGGGUGCGUAGGCGGCGCGGUAAGUCGGGUGUGAAAUCUCGGGGCUUAACUCCGAAACUGCAUUCGAUACUGCCGUGCUUGAGGACUGGAGAGGAGACUGGAAUUUACGGUGUAGCGGUGAAAUGCGCAGAUAUCAGGAAGAACACCCGUGGCGAAGGCGGCUCUCUGGAACGCAACUGACGCUGAGACGCGAAAGCGUGGGGAGCGAACAGG
rnacentral:rRNA from 1 species